CCUAAAAAGUGACAUAGAUGUAAAUCUUCAUAUAAAAAAUGUUCAAUCUGUUCCAAAGGUUGAAGGAAGUGUUAAGGGAUUGAAGAAUCUUGGCAACACAUGUUUUUUUAACUCUGUUUUACAAAACAUAGCACGUCUGGAUAAGCUCUACCAAAAAAUGGAAUCUUCUAUUAGCAAAAAGUUUAUUACUCUAAAAGUGGAA
rnacentral:lncRNA from 1 species